GCAAAGUGUGCAAACUCUCCCCACCCCAUCAUGUGUGCGUCCUUUUUGUAGCAUAAGACAAGCCAUUACAUACCUUAAAAGUUAACAAAAAGCUUAAUUAGUGCCUGACUUUUUGCUGGGGAAGUGUGCAUAACGGCCUUCAGCUUUAUUCAAUACUGUGUUUGUGAGAGCUAACUGUAACCUUCUUGGAUACUACCUAUUAGCGUGCAAGCUAAUGCAAGUACGGUCUAUUUUAUGAGUGAACUGUGGAGCUUGAGCGCAUAGACCGCGCGUCGCGUAAAGUGACUUCUCUUGAUGCGCCUUCCAGAGAGACACGACUGCAUCGCCAUUGGUCUUUACUGCGUCACCACAGAGUUGAUGUGUGGACUUUUCUUUCUUCACUGCCAAGAUGUUCCUUCCAAGCUGCUGAGACGGGUUUCGGACUUAAUGCGUCUCCAUUCGGCCGUGUCCAAAGGAGUUUGUUGGACUGUCUGUUCGCUGCAGACCCCAUCACUGUCCAGCCAUUAUGGGGGAUGGCAUGUGACCAGCCAUUAUGAGGGUGUCCCAAAAGGGUCAGCAUAGACCUGAAAUCUGAUAGGCCAUCCUUGGUGCAACCCCAGUGUACCUGGUCAGAGGAUCCCUCUGCUUUGGUCUUGGGGGAGUGAAGUCAUCAGGCUCAAGUCCAAAUCAAGCCACAAAGGACAUUUGAUCUGCAGCAGGCAUCAAGAAACAACAGAUCCAUGGAGAACAACAUCAGGAAUAUAGAUGCAUAAAUUCAACAGCUCAGCAGACAGAACAAGCAAGCCCUAUUGUGAGUGCCAUCAUCUCAAAAGAGCUUAGUGGGCAGAACUGCUUUUUGACUGAGGAUGAAACACAGCCUAACAGACAGAAUCGAUGCACCUCGUCCAAACUGGCAUGGCCUGCGUUUGCAGUCCCUCCAUCUCUCUGCGUUGCUGUAUUCAAUAAGAAGAUGGUAUAGUAGCCCCACUGCAGCAUCUUCAGCUGCACAGGCGGUUACUUUCAGUCAAAUCAGACACAGAAAUACUGUUCAGAUGUAUGAUUUGAAGAGCAGUGUGGCCGACUCGCCGUGCACUUUUAACUUCAAUGUCACCCACCAGUAGAUUUCCCUCAGGGCUUAACUGAUUUGUAAAUGCCGCAGUUCGCCCCUUUGUGCUGCUUACAAUGUGCCUUUGAAAAAUAGAGAAAGAAUAAUAAGUUCUAUUCCCUUUUAUCCUGCAUUGUGCCACUCGGUGCACCUGGGGAAGUGUAGCACUUGCAUGAUAAGAGGAAUAUUGAAAGAGAAGCCGACUGAAUUCAAUAUUUCAGUAUUUUUCUCUCCCUAUACUAUUCAGUGUUGCUGACUUUUAGGGCACUCCAAAGUGUUUUGCCCCACACUUUUUAGUCACACAUAGUUUGACUCAUGCUAAAGACCAGAAUCUAUUCUUCCUGGGGUUUGCACAGGUUGCAUGGGGAUAAUGCAAAAUGUGCUUUUAGACUGCUUAUCACACAACACAUACACCAUAAUUCAUCAUGCAUCUACAAGAAAUACAAAAGAAAAUAGCAAAAACAAUGUCAAUAUAUGGACUAAACUUUUAUAUGGUCUGAGUAAAUACCUUUAACUACAGGAUGCUGGAACAGAAUGCCCAGAGUGUGGACUAAAAUGGCAAACACGCCCUUUGUCCCAUGCAGAUGCUGAACAAACUCUGAUGCAGUCUGUAAUUUGCAUGCCGAGUGCUUUUGAACUGGGCACUUUAUAUUCCUCAUAAGGUACCAUGCAAUGCCCCAAUGAUGUAGUUUUCAAAUGACUUUGUUUUUAAUGUCUGUCUUGUAUUGCUGUUGAUAUCUUUUUCAUUCGUCAUUCAUGUGUUAUCAUGCCAUUG